GCCGGAAUAGCUCAGUUGGU
rnacentral:tRNA from 6 species